CCGUACACAAAAGCGCAUGUGCUGUGAGCUCGAUGAGUAGGGCGGGACACGUGGUAUCCUGUCUGAAUAUGGGGGGACCAUCCUCCAAGGCUAAAUACUCCUGACUGACCGAUAGUGAACCAGUACCGUGAGGGAAAGGCGAAAAGAACCCCGGCGAGGGGAGUGAAAAAGAACCUGAAACCGUGUACGUACAAGCAGUGGGAGCACAGGUUUACCUGUGUGACUGCGUACCUUUUGUAUAAUGGGUCAGCGACUUAUAUUCUGUAGCAAGGUUAACCGUAUAGGGGAGCCGGAGGGAAACCGAGUCUUAAUUGGGCGUUAAGUUGCAGGGUAUAGACCCGAAACCCGGUGAUCUAGCCAUGGGCAGGUUGAAGGUUGGGUAACACUAACUGGAGGACCGAACCGACUAAUGUUGAAAAAUUAGCGGAUGACCUGUGGCUGGGGGUGAAAGGCCAAUCAAACCGGGAGAUAGCUGGUUCUCCCCGAAAGCUAUUUAGGUAGCGCCUCGUGAAUUCAUCUCCGGGGGUAGAGCACUGUUUCGGCUAGGGGGCCAUCCCGGCUUACCAACCCGAUGCAAACUGCGAAUACCGGAGAAUGUUAUCACGGGAGACACACGGCGGGUGCUAACGUCCGUCGUGAAGAGGGAAACAACCCAGACCGCCAGCUAAGGUCCCAAAGUCAUGGUUAAGUGGGAAACGAUGUGGGAAGGCCCAGACAGCCAGGAUGUUGGCUUAGAAGCAGCCAUCAUUUAAAGAAAGCGUAAUAGCUCACUGGUCGAGUCGGCCUGCGCGGAAGAUGUAACGGGGCUAAACCAUGCACCGAAGCUGCGGCAGCGAACGUAUCACCCAAGACAACUUUACGGAGUUGACGAUUGACGGAGCGAAGCGACGUCAAAGCGUUCAUUAAAGUCGAGUUGGCUUAGGGAUACGUUCGUUGGGUAGGGGAGCGUUCUGUAAGCCUGUGAAGGUGUGUCGUGAGGCAUGCUGGAGGUAUCAGAAGUGCGAAUGCUGACAUAAGUAACGAUAAAGCGGGUGAAAAGCCCGCUCGCCGGAAGACCAAGGGUUCCUGUCCAACGUUAAUCGGGGCAGGGUGAGUCGACCCCUAAGGCGAGGCCGAAAGGCGUAGUCGAUGGGAAACGGGUUAAUAUUCCCGUACUUGGUGUUACUGCGAAGGGGGGACGGAGAAGGCUAUGUUGGCCGGGCGACGGUUGUCCCGGUUUAAGCGUGUAGGUGUGUGUUCCAGGUAAAUCCGGUUCACUUUAACACUGAGGCGUGACGACGAGGCACUACGGUGCUGAAGCAACAAAUGCCCUGCUUCCAGGAAAAGCCUCUAAGCAUCAGGUAACACGAAAUCGUACCCCAAACCGACACAGGUGGUCAGGUAGAGAAUACCAAGGCGCUUGAGAGAACUCGGGUGAAGGAACUAGGCAAAAUGGUGCCGUAACUUCGGGAGAAGGCACGCUGACACGUAGGUGAAGUGAUUUACUCAUGGAGCUGAAGUCAGUCGAAGAUACCAGCUGGCUGCAACUGUUUAUUAAAAACACAGCACUGUGCAAACACGAAAGUGGACGUAUACGGUGUGACGCCUGCCCGGUGCCGGAAGGUUAAUUGAUGGGGUCAGCGUAAGCGAAGCUCCUGAUCGAAGCCCCGGUAAACGGCGGCCGUAACUAUAACGGUCCUAAGGUAGCGAAAUUCCUUGUCGGGUAAGUUCCGACCUGCACGAAUGGCGUAAUGAUGGCCAGGCUGUCUCCACCCGAGACUCAGUGAAAUUGAACUCGCUGUGAAGAUGCAGUGUACCCGCGGCAAGACGGAAAGACCCCGUGAACCUUUACUAUAGCUUGACACUGAACAUUGAGCCUUGAUGUGUAGGAUAGGUGGGAGGCUUUGAAGUGUGGACGCCAGUCUGCAUGGAGCCGACCUUGAAAUACCACCCUUUAAUGUUUGAUGUUCUAACGUGGACCCGUAAUCCGGGUUGCGGACAGUGUCUGGUGGGUAGUUUGACUGGGGCGGUCUCCUCCUAAAGAGUAACGGAGGAGCACGAAGGUUGGCUAAUCCUGGUCGGACAUCAGGAGGUUAGUGCAAUGGCAUAAGCCAGCUUGACUGCGAGCGUGACGGCGCGAGCAGGUGCGAAAGCAGGUCAUAGUGAUCCGGUGGUUCUGAAUGGAAGGGCCAUCGCUCAACGGAUAAAAGGUACUCCGGGGAUAACAGGCUGAUACCGCCCAAGAGUUCAUAUCGACGGCGGUGUUUGGCACCUCGAUGUCGGCUCAUCACAUCCUGGGGCUGAAGUAGGUCCCAAGGGUAUGGCUGUUCGCCAUUUAAAGUGGUACGCGAGCUGGGUUUAGAACGUCGUGAGACAGUUCGGUCCCUAUCUGCCGUGGGCGCUGGAGAACUGAGGGGGGCUGCUCCUAGUACGAGAGGACCGGAGUGGACGCAUCACUGGUGUUCGGGUUGUCAUGCCAAUGGCACUGCCCGGUAGCUAAAUGCGGAAGAGAUAAGUGCUGAAAGCAUCUAAGCACGAAACUUGCCCCGAGAUGAGUUCUCCCUGAGACUUAGAGUCUCCUGAAGGAACGUUGAAGACGACGACGUUGAUAGGCCGGGUGUGUAAGCGCAGCGAUGCGUUGAGCUAACCGGUACUAAUGAACCGUGAGGCUUAACCUUACA
rnacentral:rRNA from 1 species